UAUUACGGUCGUAUCGCGUUGAAAGCAUCGGUUCUCGUCUGAUCACCAAAGUUAAGCAACGUUGACCUAGAUGGGUGGCCGCUUUCGAAAUGUAGAUGCUGUAAGCG
rnacentral:rRNA from 1 species